AUUGAACGCUGGCGGCAGGCCUAACACAUGCAAGUCGAACGGUAACAGGAAGAAGCUUGCUUCUUUGCUGACGAGUGGCGGACGGGUGAGUAAUGUCUGGGAAACUGCCUGAUGGAGGGGGAUAACUACUGGAAACGGUAGCUAAUACCGCAUAACGUCGCAAGACCAAAGAGGGGGACCUUCGGGCCUCUUGCCAUCGGAUGUGCCCAGAUGGGAUUAGCUAGUAGGUGGGGUAACGGCUCACCUAGGCGACGAUCCCUAGCUGGUCUGAGAGGAUGACCAGCCACACUGGAACUGAGACACGGUCCAGACUCCUACGGGAGGCAGCAGUGGGGAAUAUUGCACAAUGGCGCAAGCCUGAUGCAGCCAUGCCGCGUGUAUGAAGAAGGCCUUCGGGUUGUAAAGUACUUUCAGCGGGGAGGAAGGGAGUAAAGUUAAUACCUUGGCUCAUUGACGUUACCCGCAGAAGAAGCACCGGCUAACUCCGUG
rnacentral:rRNA from 1 species